GUGCCAGCCGCCGCGGUAAUACCUGCAGCCCAAGUGGUGGCCGUUAUUAUUGGGCCUAAAGCGUCCGUAGCCGGUUUGGUAGAUGCCUUUGUAAAUCGAACGGCUCAACCGUUCGAAUUGAGGGUAGACCGCCAGACUCGGGACCGGGAGAGGUGCGAGGUACUCGGGGGGUAGAGGUGAAAUUCUGUAAUCCUCCGGGGACCACCGGUGGCGAAGGCGUCGCACUUGAACGGCUCCGACGGUGAGGGACGAAGCCCUGGGGCGCAAACCGGAUUAGAAACCCCAGUAGUCC
rnacentral:rRNA from 1 species